ACAUGUAUAAUUACCUGUGUUCCACUGUUUGGACUUAUUUUUGCUUUAUUGUUAAGACCACGUAUCCUUUGUUUAAGUAAUGGUCGCCUCCCAUAAUGCAUUGUGCUGUGUGUUUACGAAGUUUAACGAGCGCUAUUUUUUCAAUUAUAAUUUAUUGUUAAAGCUUACAUAGAUAUUCAAUGAUUAUACUAGAAAUAAUUAGAUUAAAAAACAAAUGUUUCCUUCAGUUUUUAUCAAUUUCUCGUAAGCAUGAAAAUAUUGUGGGGGAACUAUAGAGCAUCCCGUCACGUUUUUCAUUGGUUGCUGUAAUUUACACGACGUAAAUGAUUGGUCGCGUUUCAUGAUGUCAUUUUACUACGUAUAUAACCAGCAGUUGUAGCAGACAACACAGAUUUAGGUAGAUUUUGGCUGAUUUACGGGUUGUAGGAAGGUGUGUUAUUUUAUUUAAUUAAUUUUCAUUACAUUUAUUUUGGGAAGAGUUUUAAUAGAUUGGGAAUAGAAUUGGUAUUGGUUUGUUACAGAGUAAGUUGAUAACAGCUAUCUGCUGAGCUGUUUAUUGUAAUUUACCAGUCUGAAAUUACUCAGUGAUUUCUUUAGUUUUUCAAACUACCACCCCUCCUUUUGAAUUUGGAAAAAUUAGCGACAUUUUCCUCAAAUUGGGAAAAAUCAUUCAUAGUAAAUUAAAAUGGUAAAGAUGCAUAUAAAAUAACCAAAUAACAAUUUUUUUGGCUUGAGGUUUAUUUCAGAUCUGAUUUAAAAUCAUAAAAUAAUUCAUUACUUAACAUUAAAUAUGUAUUGGAAGUCACACCUUGUAUAGAUAUUAUUUACUUUUUCUAAGAAAUACUUAUUGUCUAAUUUCAUAAAGAAAAUAAUAAAUUAUUAAUUCACCAGCAUUUGUACCCAUAAUCUUGUAAAUAUUAUAUUAAUAAUCAAGUUUCCAGAAUGUCUCUCCUGUUUUAUAUUUUUCGGAUUUUAGUAAAACCCUAUACUGUUGGCCACUUCCUGUUAUUAGCCUGACCUUACAUACAAUGGCGGUCAAACUAAAUUGUAAAUAAUAUGGCUUAAUGUGCAUCUGGAAACUAUAUACUUCGCUGCAUAUCUGCUUACAUAUGGAUGCCUCUAUUGUUUUACAUAUUCUUUACAAAACCUUUUGCAUGUGCAUGUGCAAUGGUUUGGAGAAUAAAACUGAAGAAAAAAACGUAUUUACUCUUUGUCAGAAAUAUACGGUAACCUUUUUUUUUAAAAUGGCCUAAUUUCCCUGGAUUUGAAAUUGGGAAAAACAUAUGUAUAUAAUUGGGAAAAAAUAGCUAAUUUUAGUGAGGGGAAACAGCCGAAUAUCGGUGGCAUUUUGGCCCCCCCAAAAAUCACUGUUAAUGGAAUUAUUUACGGAAAUUUUUCCGUUGCCAUUACAAUUGAAUUACUGGUUAAAUCUACCAGUUAGAGAACAAUAAUAAGACAGAAUACUUAGGUUCACAAGGAUUUAUUUGAAAUUAUUGAUUUAUAGAAAUAAAAUGUGUUCAGAAUAAACCGUUGAUUUGUUAAUUUUACAAGACUUGUCUUCUAUUUUCUCUAACCUUAAAUUUGGAAGUGGAGAGAAAAGAAAUAAUUUAGUUUUAUUAUCAUGAAGGACAACAGAGUAGUUUACUACUUGUCCAGUUGUCACGAACCAGAUGGUGUUGCGACCACCCAGCGUCGAGCAAAAGACGGGACUGUGCAAGAGCUUCCAUGCACGCCAACAGUUGAAGUGUAUGCCCAAUAUAUGGGAGGAGUUGACCGCCUGGAUCAGAACACCAGAAUCAACAAAAAAAAAAAAACUAUGCGCUGGCACAGAUGGAUAGAAGCAAAACUUAGAGAGUGUGCAUUGUAUAAUGCAUAUGUCAUUGAGGGAACUGUUGUGAAUCAUUUUCCGCCAAACAAACGGAAGCGUGACCUGCUCUCUUUCCGGAUGGACGUAGCACAUCAACUAAUUGGAGGCUUCCGACAAGCCAGAAAGUCCUUCAAACGUCCACGGACAAUUUCAAAUGGUGAAGAUGAGCGCCUUCAUGAAAAGGGACACUGGCCUGUUCCCAGUGGCAGUGCUGAUAGACUUUGUGUUGUUUGCUUGAAGAAGCAUAAGAACUAUGCUUCAAGUCAUCCAGGUAUCUCAGUUAAAGACAAUCCUUACAAGUGUAGUAAAACAACGAUGAUGUGUGAGAAGUGUUCCGCUCCUCUGUGUUGUAACUCCAAAAGCACCUGCUUCCGUGACUACCACAAAAAACUCUAUUACUGGCAGUGAUUUUACCUAUUACACCAGGUCCUGUAAAAUGACUUUUUGGUUAAUUUCCACUAAGAGACUGGUAUAAUUAACAUUACAAUAACUGUUGUUUUUAUGUAUGCUUGUUUGUAAAUAAUUAAAAUAAUCAUAAACACUAAACGAGUUUUUACCUCAUCUACCUGUUAUCUAACGACAGGUAGAUAAAUGGGAAGGAAGAAACUGAGUAUGCUGAUAAACUUAUUUCACUUGGAAGUGAUCAUAUGGAAAGUUGAGCCAGAUAGUGAAAUUCAGCAAUCUACCUGAUUAUUUACCUGUUCACACCUGAACUUAGACAUAUAUACAAAAUAUAUUUCAGUUAUAUUGAAGUUGAGACUUUUAUCUUUCCAUUGAUACCUAGUUUGUUGAAAUACAUGAAAUACAUAAAAAGUUAUCAGUGUUUAAGUAACUGCCCCAUUUAUUUGUAAUUAAGUUCCCCAAAUUAAGUUACUUAGUGUUGGGGGUAUUUAGCUCUUACAGUUACUUAGUGUUGAAAGAGUUAAAACAUAGAUCUCCCUCCCCCCCCCCCCCCUCAUUAUCCAACAUUGACAUUUGGGACUAAAGGAAAUAUAUUUUCCUAAUUUACGGGGACUGAUGUUCUCUUGAGAAGGAUUUGAAAUCCUUGUUUUACAUCUAUUCCCGUUACAAUAUAUAAAGUCUCUUUUUUUCGAAGUAAAAUCUUAAAAAACUUUCUAGAAAUAUUUCUUCUUCAGUCGUGUUUAUCUGCCAUUGCAAUGCAAUGGAAGACUACAUACACAAAAGUACUAUGACGUCACAGUAAGUAUUAAACAAUUGAAAAGUAAUGUCAAAGUUGAUAUUGCCCGAAAAACAACUCAAUUGUGCCUUUAAAAUAUUUUCUAAGACUCAAGUCGGCGACUGGUGAUGACAGAGGUCACAGUCACAACAGGGGUCAUAAGCAAAAGAAGAGGAGAACACGACUGAUUGAUGUUUUCUGCCACACUCAACAAUUUUUCAGUUAUCUGGUGGCGCCCAGUUUUUAUUGGUGGAAGAGAGAACCCAGAUACAAUGUAACUGGGAAGAGACCAGUUUUGAAAUUUUUUUUUCAAAGUGUUCAAAUUUUUAAACAGGGUUUCUGGUGAAUGACAUCAAAGUAAGAGCCAUCCUGCUAAAUGCAGUGUUUGAUGCCCCAGCAAGGUGCCUUUUCCAAAAUAUGACGCAAUUCAAUGGAUUUUAUGGCUGGGGAUCCCUAUUGCCAUGUCCAAGGCAAGAGUGUCCAGACAAGUGAAAGGGGUCAAAGUUUAUCCAUUCAACCAAUGGAUAUCAUGAUGCCAGAACUCUGAAUUCCAUUACCAUGAAUGCCAGGGAAGCAGAAGAGAGGAAAGCUAAUGGAAUUAGACAACAUAGUGUCCUAGGAGUCAAGGGGCGAACUUGGUUUCAUUACCUGCAACACUUUAAUAUUGUCUGUGGUGUUUCUGUUGACUACAUGCACUGUGUAACGAAUACUUGAUGUUGUGAAAAUGAUCAUGUCGCUGUGGUUUGAUAAAACUCAAAAGAUUGAAGUGUUCAGCAUACACUCGAAGAUAAGUGAAGUUGAUGGACGAUUGCUGUCGAUAAAACCACCCAGCUUCGUUCCAAGAUUUCCACGGACAGUGAUGGACUUGGCCCACUACAAGGCAGCAGAUCUCCAGAACUUCUUGAUCUUUUACAGUCUUCCUUGUUUGCUUGGGAUACUUCCAGAUGACCAAUUUCACCACUUCUCGCUCCUAGUGUAUUCCAUCUACACACUACUUCAACAGAAAAUUUCACCCAGUGAUUUAAAGCAGUGUCGGUACAUGCUACCGGUAAUUGAGUUUGUGCUCAACAUACCAGUGUUUUAUGGGGAGCGUUACUCCACAUCGAACACCCACCUUCCAUUUGGUGGAGAAAGUGGAGGACCAAGGCCCACUAUGGAGUAAUUCCUGUUUUUACUUCGAGGACUUCAAUGGUCAGCUAAGAAGACUAUUUCAUGGGACCCAAAAUAUUGACUGUCAGAUGUUGAAAUCAUAACGGUAUGGUAGCAGCGAACUGAACUUGAUGAGUAAACUUCUGGACAAGAAAGUUGAUGCAUCAAAAGAACAAAUUCAAGAUGGCAUUUCUAUGGUUCGUGGAUGUUACAGCAGGCGACUUUCAGAAAAGGAAGAACAUGCAAUAUUUUUAGUGUUUGGAGAAUUCCAAUGCAUUUCGUUUUUCAAACGUUUGCAUAUUUGUCAUCAAAUUGUGCAGAGCAAGGAGUAUAGAAAUACAACUAGAGGAGACAAUAGUGUUGUGAAGUGGAAGGAGAAUUAUCUGCACAAGUUCAAGUUUUUGUCAAGGUCAUGAUAUGUGAUAUAUGCGAAUUAUUUGCGAUAGUGAAGAUGAUGAACUAUGUAGACAAUGUGUUGAUGAGAACUGAUUCCCUGAGUUCGAGCAGGAAAUUUCAUAUGGUUCCUGUAGCACCACCUACCAGACAACUCAGAGCAGUGCCUGUGACUCAGAUUACUGAUGUAUGUGUGUGCAUAGGAAUUGAUAAUGACCUCUGUUUUGUUAUGCAAAAUACCUACUUCAAGCAAAAGCAGAUGUCCAAUGAGUCAUACAGCAACCAGAACCAGGUGUCUUGUAAUCCCCGCAACCACCAAAACCAGAUUCCAUCCACACCCAGAACUACACCUUGUACCAAAAUCAGAUAUGCAACACACCAGAGGUUAAUAGAUGGCUACAUGAUGGAAUCAAUCCUUACAGGGGUAGCUUUGAAUUAACUGAGGAGGAUGCAUGCAGCACAACUCCAUAUACCAUGGGUGACUGCUCCAGAAAUAUGCAGAAAGAUCAACAGGUGUGCCAAGAGUGCAUUAAGCUAAAAGAAGAACUAGAGAAUGCCAACAUGAGGAUUAAGCGUUUGGAGGAAGAGCUAAAUGAAACUUCGUCAGAAGAAGGUGGAAAUGGUGCCCGGCAGUGGGAUUUUUGUCCGGGCCUCAUACCUAGAAGAAAACGAAAGUUUCGUCAACAGCAGCUGCGAGAUUUCUUCUUUCGUGUGUAAUAAGCCAUGAAGACAUCGUAAAGGCUGGCAGCAUAAAGGCUGUCAGCAAGGAUUUGCUAAAAUCCAUUGCCUGUAAGCCUUUUUUCAAGCUAAUUUAAUUAAUAUAUGAUUAUGUUGAACAAACUUUUUGUACUUGUACUGAACAUUGUAUCGUACUAAAAUUUCAAAUGGGUCUUUGUGGCUGAGUGUUAAAAACAUCAUUCUUUCAAUUGGAGAGCCUAGCUUAUCUCCAGUAUGUGUGAGUUCAAGUCCUGCUUGCACACCUUGUGCUAUAUGUAAGAGUAUUUGUAAGUUUACUUACAGAAGGUGGGGUUUCUCCCAAUAUUGGAUCUUUCCUCCACCAAUAAAAAAUGGAUGCUGUUUAAUAUUGUAUAACUGACAUAUUGUUGAAUGUGACCAAAAUCAACAAAUUAAUAUUUCAUGAUUUUAUGAGAAGUGUAAUUCUGAAUAUUAAACCAUUAUUUCGUCUCUGAUUCUGUCCCAGUUUUAAUAUUAAGUAUGUCCAAUGAGAUGGCGUUUUUUGCAUUAACUUGGGCAACUUUUGAUUAAACAAGCACAUGUUACUUAAUUACUAUCAGAUAUGUAUAUAGUGAGUUCAGGCACAUUUUAGCAUCAUUUUUUAAAGGUUUCAUUGUGCAUUGUCUCUUAUUGUGUAUGUUUUUCUUUUAAUUUUUCAGUGUAUGCAUCCAGAGAUAACAGAACUGAAUUUUCUUAGUGCAAAAUGGCAUAAAAUCUCUGCCAUAUUAUCAAGAUCCAAAACAGGGAGGGGGGGGGGGGGGGGGGGGGGGAAGAAAGAUCCAGAUGCAAAAGAAAAGCAAAGAAUUUAUUUUCAGCGAAUCUGAAAGCAGUACUGAUAGUGACUUGACAUUUCGAAAGGUUCAAGUGAGCUUUUCUGAUCGCUUUUUGUCCGUCGUCUGUCUGUCUGUUAAACUUUUCACAUUUUCGACUUCUUCUCCAGAACCACUGGGCCAAUUUCAACCAAACAUGGCCAAAAGCAUCCUUGGGUGAAGGGCUUCCAAGUUUGUUCAAAUGAAGGGCCAUGUCCCUUUCAAAGGGGAGAUAAUCACAAAAAUGCAAAAUAGGGUGGGGGUCAUUUAAAAAUCUUCUUCUCAAGAACCACUAAGCCAGAAAAGCUGAGAUUUACAUGAAAGCUUCCUGGCAUAAUGCAGAUUCAAGUUUGUUCAUAUCAUGGGCUCCGGGGGUUGGAUGGGGCCACAAGGGGGAUCAAAGUUUUACAUACAAAUAUAUAGGAAAAAUCUUCUUCUCAAGAACUACUGAGCCAGAAAAGCUGAUUCUUACAUGAAAACUUUCUGACAAAGUGCAUGAUUCAAGUUUGUUCAAAUCAUGGCCCCCGGGGGUAGGAUGGGGCCACAAGGGGGAUCAAAGUUUUACAUAAAAAUAUAUAGUUAAAAUCUUUUUCUCAAUAACCACUGAGUCAGAAAAGCUGAUAUUUACAAGAAAACUUUCUGAUAUAGUGCAGAUUCAAGUUUGUUCAAAUCAUGGCCCCCGGGGGGUAGGAUGGGACCACAAGUGGGGUAUGUGUGUGUGUGUUAAAGUUUUACAUACAAAUAUAGGAAAAAGCUUUAAAAAUCUUCUUCUCAAGAACCAUUGGGCCAAAGAAGUUGACAUUUACACGAAAGCUUUCUGACACAGUGUAGAUUCAAGUUUGCAAAGGGUAGUUUGGGCCAUAAUAGGGACUAAGGUUUUACAUGCAAAUAUAUAUGGAAAGUCUUCAGAUAUGGGCCAAGGUGACUCAGGUGAGCGAUGUGGCCCAUGGGCCUCUUGUUUUUAAUGAACUCAAAAUCUUUCAAUAAUUUCUUUGCACUGUUAUGAUUUGUUUUAUUCAUCCAUUGUAUGUUGUAGAAGUUUGUUGCCUCAAAUAGAAAGUAUAUUUUAUGAAGAUCGAGUGCUAAUCCUGUUGAUUUUAAUAAAUUUUCAUUGAUUUCUGUAGAAAGCUUUUUCUUUGUCCCAUUAAGGUAGCUAUAUUAUUUUGGUUCUGGAAAGAUUUGAAUGGAUCCUUCUGUACACCUCCUUCUGCAAAAAUAGUACUGUGGUUUCAUCCUGUUCCAAGAAAUGGUACCCAGAAAGUACUGAAAAUUGUAUCCAGAAAGUACUGAAAACGGUAUCUAAAAUGUACCCGAAAAGUACUUAAAAUGUACCCAGUUUGUACCCGAAAAGUACCUAAAUUGGUACCUGGAUUGCACCAAGAAUGUACCUUAAAUGGUACCCGGAUUCUACCCGAAAAGUACCUAAAUUAGUACCCGGAUUGCACUGAGAAUGUACCUGAAAAGUACCUUUAAAUGGUACCCGGAUUCUACCCGAAAAGUACCUAAUUUGGUACCUGGAUUGUUCCUAAAAUGUACCCUGAAAGUACCUACAUUGGUACCUGGUUUGUACCAAGAAUGUACCCGAAAAGUACCUAUAAUAUGGUACCAGAAUUGUAUCUAAAAUGGUACCCAGAUUGUACCUGAAAAGUACCUAAUUUGGUGCCCGGAUUGUACCAAGAAUGUACCCGAAAUGUAUCUCCAAAAUGUGAAAGAACAAUGUACCCGAAAAAGUACCCGUCUGCAGCUAAAAAUAUUUUUAAAGUGCGGUUCCAAAAAGGGUAGACUUUUGGGUACCCUAUAGGUACAUUCUGAGUACCUUUUGGAUACUUUCUGGGUACUUUUUAGUGUACCCGAGUCGUACCUAAAAUGUGUACCCAAAAACAUUGUACCCAGAAGGUACCCUAAAAAUUGAAACUUGGAAAGUUGGAAUUAAUAAGGUACCCAAAAGGUACCCCCGAAAAUUAUAACUUAGACAGUUGCUUGGGAAAGAAUAAUGUACCCGAAAAAGUACCCGCCUGCAGCUAGAAAUAUUUUCAGAGUCCGGUUCCAAAAAGGGUAUACUUUUAGAUACCUUUUAGGUACAUUCCAGGUACCUUUUGGGUACAUUCCGGGUACUUUUAGGUGUACCCAAAGAGUACCCGAAAAGUACCCAAAGUGUAACCAAAAUGUACCUUUUUUCUGUAUGGGUGGUGUCGAAAAAAUGACCAUGCUGCACCAAGCGAGCAAACGCUGAAUAGUGCUAUAACAGAACGAAUUUGCUAUGCAAGAAAACAAUGUGUUAAACAAAUGACUCUGUGAUUUAUAGUUGUGUACCAGUAACAUAAUAAAUGUAUAUAAUAUUGCGGAAUAAAUUCCAAACUGUAAAUAUUGGUUUCUAUCUUAUUUAUUAUUACCACCACCAUACUAUGAUAUAUGUUUACCAUUUACAGGUAUGAAUAGUAACCUCUGAUGAUCAAAUGUAUAUUAUACGAGUACCAUUAUAUAACAUGGUUCGAGACAACUGAAUUGAUUAUAACGAUGAAGAUCAGGAUUUUCAUUGUAGUAUUCAUGAAGCAAUUAUCAAGUCAUUUCGAACAUUGAUUUAAAUGUAGCUUAAUCGUAUUUAAGGACUUUAUUCUGAUGACAUAGGUAUUUAGAGAAUUUAUAUAUAUACCAAGACAGAUGACCUAUGCAUCCAGAGACAUGUACAAAUACUUCGACAGUGAUAUUCCUUCCAUAGGUCGACCCAUCAAUUUGUGAAGUAAACAUUCAUGCACACAAUAGGAAUGCAUCCGUAAACAAAUACAUCAGGAAUGCAUCAGGGAUGAAACACCGGACACAUUAAACCAGACUGAUACCUGGCAUGCAGCAAAGUCUGUGGAGAGAUCAGCCAUCAAGAGUCAGAAAGGGAUCAAUAAGGCAACACCAGUAGCAUGAGGAAAUAUCUGACAAGAUACAUUUUGUCAGUGCUCUUUCAAAAAUGGCCCAUUCUUUUUGACAUUUUGACUUGUCAAUAUGGGAAAACGUAAACUUGUAGCUUCUGACCUUAGUCAGUCUAAAAUUAAAAAAUUGUCUGUUUGGCUUUAUUUCCAAUUCAGGGUCUGAACAUUCAACCCCACUUGCUCGAACAUCUGAUUCUGUCCAAAUCGCAAAACCUUCCACAUAAAAACGUAAAUUUAACAUCAGCUGGAGAUUUAAUAGGGAAUGGUUGAGAUACGACUCUAAAUUGGGCUUGAUGUUUUGUGACAUCUGCAUUUCAGCCAAUGUACACAAUGUUUUCACUGAGGGGUGUAGCAUCAUGAAGAAAGACAAUGCAGACAAAUAUGAGAAGGGAACAGGUGCUUAUGUUUCUAUUACAUCUUUUACACAUUUUCAUGUUAUUUUUUUUAUUAUGCUAAAACUCAGAAUUCUUCACAAAAUAUCAAUUCAAUAAUUAAGGUGACAAUAGCCACUGUGCAGUCUAAAUAUAUCCACCAACCCUAUUAAUUUUUUCAAUUUUCCGAUUUCAAUUUAUCGAUGUACGAAUUAUUACCCGAAAUCAUUUUGGUAAUUAAGAGUUAACAAUACUGACAACAACAAUGGCGGCACAUCUUUUAGAAGCUGCUUCGGUGUCAGUAAUAAGGUUACAUAAAUGCCAGCAUCAGAACCCCAUAAAUAUUAUGAUAACUGUCUUGCACAAAUCAAUAUUAAGUGACCUAUUUAAGGCGAACCACCUGCAGAACCGGAAGGCGGGCAGUGUCUGUGCGGACGUGAAGUGAGGGCUAGCAAAAACGAGACCCUGUUCGUAGGCGAAUGUUUUUAUUUUUUAUCUCGCACUUGAUCCAGUAGCAGUUCCUGCGACAUAUGAAGAAAAGUUUAAUGAUCCAUCACUCGUUUCAACCCAAAAUGCAGGUGCACUGGUAACUAAUAUGUACAGAUGUGUUCAAAGCCAUGAGUCAUUCAAAAACGAAAUUAACUUAACACCUAAACUUUACUUCAUACAAUGUUUAUAUAUAUAUUAUUUCUAGUAUAUACUCCCAACCCAAAACUUUUUUUUGACUAUUUCCAAAAUCAGUUACCGUAUUUUGUCAAAUGAAAUAGACUUUGUUUUAUGAGAAGGGGUGCAUAAUAUAUACAUGUACCACAAUACAUACAAGUUUUUUAUCCAUUUUCAUUCAGUUGAAGCUUGACUAUAAGUUCAUUCAUAGCUAAUAUAUAGAUAAUGUUUUUAAUGCUAAGUUGUAAACACUACAGGCCAUCUAACAUUAGACAGAAAGUGACUUAGAACUAUAAGAGUGCUUACAUAAACAAUAGUGCAAUUUUCAGGUUGUUUAUUUUUGAAAAAGCUGGAUAGAUUUCAAAGCUUGGAAGGGAUUGAAAACAGUACGCUGGUUGAAAUAUCAUUUCCUACUUUCAUGUUUAACAACAUGAUUUUGACAAAAUGAAAAGCACUGGUGUUUUUUUUUCUGUGUUUAAUUUUUUAUUUGCAUACAAAUAUAUAAAAAUUGUCAAAACUAGUAGGGUGAUCCCUACCAAUUUUGAUUGGUAUAUAUAUCACACCAUAUAUAAAUGGUACAUGCAAAGAAGUGAAAUCAAAAGGAAAACGUGCUUCCAUCUUAUGAUCUAUUGUAAAAUCUCACAUAAUAAAAAAUAAAACCCCAACCUACCUACCCUACUUUUCAAGGGAGUGUAACUGUAACCACACAUAUUAUUUUAUCUGGCCUUAGUGAAUUUACUACAAUUGAUUGUAAGCUUUUGUCUAUUUCAGAAAACAAAGCAGAAAAAGAAAAAAAGAGGGAAGUGAAUAAGAGGAAAAGAGAGAUUGGCUUGAAGAAGAAUGCAGAUUUUCUACAAUCGCUACACAUCUUUAAGCAUCAGGUAAUACCUUUAUCAAGCUUGUUUUAACACAAGAGGGGCAUAAACAAAUUUAUACAUAUUUUUGGUCACUUUCGCUAUCCAUAUGGAAUGUUGGUUCCCCAUUUAUUUAAUUCAGUCUUACAUUUGACAGUAGAAAAUUAAUUUUAUUUAAAGAAAAGAAAAAGUACUACUUUAAUGAUUCAGUUUCUUUACUAAUGACUGGAAAAAGGGGGAGGGGACUGGUUAUUGUAAUCAUUGGUUAUUUUGAGGUCUGAGAAUUUACAUACAUUAGGUAUUUUUGGGCAUAUUGUUCAAACUUUUGUAUUAAUAUUAAUCAUUUGCUGAAAAAAAAAAAAUCAAAUGAGGGAAAAUGUUGGGGAGAUAUAUUUGUAAUUCUAUCGUACUAAUUUUGUAGACCUCUUCCAAGAACCAACUGGAUCAGUCAACUGAACCUCCCUACGAGUCUCGGUUCCCUUCUUCACAACAUCCAAAGAACACUUACCAACCAGAUCCGUCUCUGAGUAAGACAUUCCAUCCAUUUCGACCAUAUUUAGAUGCACAGCAACAACACCAGUUACUGCCUUUAGAUGGUCAGCUUGUUGAACAACAUCAGUCAAACCCCUACCCACCAACAAUUUCAUCAACACUUGGUAAACUCACUGCAGCAUUUUGAUAUGAGCCACAGCUACCCACAGCUGCAUUUCUAUCAGAACCAGAGCACCUCCCAGCAGCAACAAUUCCAUCAGAGCCAGGGCAACCAUCAGCAACAGGAACAUGUCCAGCCCCGACCAUCAUCAGAAGUACAGAGUAGCAGUGCACAAGAAGGCCAAUUCCAGAAAGUUUAUUACUACGAUUCAGACCAAAACCCUGCUCCACUACAGCCACGCUUUAGACGGUUUGGACAGCCACCAAAUCACUAGUUAGGUCAGGUGAACACCAGUACACUUAUUCAACAGCAACAACCAUUGAAAAAGAAGCCAUCAACCAGUCUUCCUCUUGCAGAGAUUCCAUGGAUAGCUGAUGAGAUUUUUCAAGGAGACCAAGUGCUUGAGGACUUCUUGGAUAGAACAAAUGUUCCGAACAGUACAGAUGGGGUACAUUAUAUAUGUGAUAGACUGACAUGUGUGCUUUAAUAUUUUAUUGAUCACCAAAAGAAAAUGGGCAAUGACUUCUACAUUAUUUUUGAGAAUGAGCCCAUUCCACUGAAACAUUUUAAAGUUUUACUUUCAGUAUAAUUAUUCUUUCUGUAUGCUCAUGUCUUGCUUACUUUUAACAGAUGGGGGAGCCAAAAACAAUGCACUGUAAUAAUAAAGGAAAGGGAGUUAAGAGUAAAGAAGCAGCUUUCGAAAGCUCAGGAGGAACUUGAGCUUCAUAAAUAUACUAUUAAAUUAAUUUAAUGAUUAUUAAUUUACACUUCUCUGCCCCAUUCGCUUUUUGGUAACUAUGCCUAUCGUCUACAUUUAUCAACCAAUCAAAUGUUGUCUUUUAUUAGUAUCAUGUUACUAUUUCGAUCUAUCUAGGACACCCCCCCCCCCCCCCUAGGGACAAUUGAUUGCGCCCUCUAGGGGGAUCCCCCUUUCUACCAAUCAUAUUUAUUAAUUAUCUUAUUUCAAAUCAUAACAAUUUAAUCAUCCAAUCAACGUUCAUAAAUUUUCCUACUUCGGCAUUUCAAAUUCUAGUUAAGCGUCACUUUAGAAAAUUUCACGAAGGGCAGAGGCCACGCAACCUUUAUCAGCAAGGCCACGCAGUCUAGGCCGUUUUUAUAUCACAAAUUUUCCAAACAAGGAAUUAUUGCAAUGUGUUUAUAAUACUAAUUUUUUUUUGUUGGUAUACGUCGACUUACAUGCAGACUUGUACCGCCAUGGACAUACAUGCUUUCUUUGACAUUCCGUCGUGGUACUUAACUUUUCCCAAGGAAGAAGAGAGUUUAUACUGUAUCAUGGUAGACUCAGACUUUGAUGCUGCGGAAGCACGCUUUAUUAUUAUCCUUGAAUGUGGAGCUAUGUGCGACGCAUGUAUUUUAUGUGCACCAGAACUUUUUGAACCGCUGCCACGUUGUGAUGAGUUUGCCAUUUCCCGUUGUGAUUACAUCUAAUACAGACAUCGUGCAAUGAUGACGGAUAAUACUUGUAGCGAAGAAAACGAAGUUUUAUUGACAGUCGGAGAAGACGCCAUUAAAAAAUGGGCCAACGUUAAACGAAUUUCACCCCACAGCGCGGAAUGUCUUCUGGACAUGGGCUUCAACAGUAUGGAGGCCCUGUCGCUUCUCACACCCAGUGACCUGGAAGAGUCCCCUAUCCCACUGGGACAGCGUAAACUACUUAUCCAUAGUGUAAAACAGACAUUUCCGAGAGGAAUGGCGGCAGCAACAUCCACCGACCGCAUGGGUACGCCAAUGGAGGACCGCGGGGGACAAAAUAAACCGGCCGAGGACACCUCUGACGCCAGUUUCAUCCGGGACAUUAUGGGGCAGCUGCACCAGGCACAGGGACAACCACGUCCAACGACGCAGCCCAUGCAAGCCUCUAAUGGUAUGUA